rnacentral:rRNA from 1 species
GACGAACGCUGGCGGCGUGCUUAACACAUGCAAGUCGAACGGAAAGGCCCUGCUUUUGUGGGGUGCUCGAGUGGCGAACAGGUGUGUAACACGUGAGUAACCUUCCCUUGACGUUGGGAUAACUUCAGGAAACUGGUGGUAAUACCGGAUAGGAGCUCCUGCUUCAUGGUGUUUGUUGGAAAUUUUCGGCGGUUGGGGAUGGACUCGCGGCUUGUCAGCUUAUUGGUGGGGUAGUGGCUUACCAGUCCUUUGACGGGUAGCCGGGCUGAGCGGGUUACAAGACACAUUGGGACUGAGAUACGGCACAGACCAGUACGGGAGGGAGGAGUGGGGAAUAGUGUACAAUGGGAGGAACGAUGAUGUAGUAAAGCCGCGUGGGGGAUAAGGCCAAUGGCGUUGUAAACCGAUCUGGCCUGUGACGAAGCGAGAGUGACGGUAAUGGGUAAAGAAGCACCGGCUAACUACGUG